CAGGUCUGGGCUGAGGACAGAGCCUAGCAAAAGAACAUGCUUAAUCCACGUGAGCGCUUCUUAACAGCAGUCUCCCCCAAACCUCUCAUAAGUGCCAGUCAACGCCCCCUCCAACUUCCACACUCUGGAACUUUCUUCCAUCCCUUUCCACUACCCUCCCUUCAAAACAAAUUACUUCCUUUCACUAAAAAUCGAGAAACACACCCAGCCCCUCCCUUUCUUUAAGAACUCUUAAUUGUCUCCCCUCAGGGUAAUUUCUGCUUCGUGAGGAAGUUCCGGCUACAUACCACCUUAAACCCAAAGGAAGCAAUAAUGGUGCAGUUCAGGCAGAGCGCCAGGGCCCUCUGAUCCAGCCAGCUGAGGGUGAGUUUUACAAUGAAUUCCAUUCAUCUAUUCAUCAGAUGAUGAUGAUGAUGAUAAUGAAAGGAGAGUGCUUGCUAUAUGCCUGACACCGUGCAAUACACCUUAAAUCAUCCAUUCCUUCCGACCACUCUGGGAGUUUGCAAUUGCAUAGGCUCGGCAGGAUCAUCUCUCAGCUGCACAUGGCAUCAGCUGGGAUAGCUGACUACCUGGAAGAUCCACUUCCCAGAUGGCUCACUCACAAGGCUGGGAUCUCAGUGGAGACUGUGGGUGAGCUGGGAGCCUAGUUGCCUUCCAUGUGGGCCUAUCCAUGCAGCUGCUUGGGCUUCCUCACAGCAUGGCAUCUGGGUUCCAAGAGGGAGGAAGUGAAAGCUGCCUGUUUCCUUAAAGGUCAGGCCCAGAGUGGCCGUCACUUCCACUGGGUCCUAGUCCCAACCCAGACUCAAGGGGUUACAGGUAAGCUCCACAUCUUGAUGGAGGAGGGGCAUAUGUGUACAGAGAGGGUAGGGGUUGUUUGGAGUCAUCUUUGGAGACUAACUACCACAACUAGCAUUUAUCAAGCUUUUCCUAUGUCCCCAGUAUGGUGCUGGGCCCACAUGCAAUCUCACAGUAUGGUGCUGGCCCACAUGCAAUCUCACAACAGUCAAGUAAGGCAGGAACAAUGAUCAUCCCCAUUUUACAGAUGUGUAAACUGAGUCACAAACAGGUAGGUAAUUUGCCCAAAGCCAUUUGGCUUGUAGGAAGAGGGCCCAGAAUCAAACCUGAGCAGUCUGCCUCCAGAGCCCACCCUCUGAACUAGCAGCAAAAUCCACUAGUCAUUACAGUUUUUCUUGAGAUGCAAUUUUCACAUUAACAACAAAGUGGAACUGUGCCCAAGAUGCUAGCGAGUUCCAAAUAAAACAAAAUGUGACAUUCAUUAUGUUUCAGCACAACUCAUUCUGGAAAUUUGUGCCACAGAAUGACUUGCAUUUUCCCCUAGGAGCCCUCUGCGGCAGACGUGGCCAGUCCCUCCCCAAUACCCAUUUCUCUAUCUUAUGUAGCAGUAGACAUUUUAGCUGGGCACCUGGCUUCCCAAAUAACAACUGCUUUUUUUUUUUUUUCCCCAGCUCCCCUUCAGAACAGAAGUGAUGGGAGUGAUCUCUGGGUCAGGUCUGCUGGCUGACUAUGGGUGCAAUGGCCGGAGCUGGAGCGACUGCUUUGGACCAUGAGAUGAAAGCUGAGUGUGGAGGGACAGACAGGGCAGCAGAAGCCUGAGGUGUUUGAAUGACUUUGGGGAGCAGCUAAAUCCUUGAGCCCUGACCGCCCCCCCCCCACACCUCUGGCCUCUUACCUAAGAGAGAACUAAAAUUCUAC